GUAUUCCACGAGUGCUUCCACUGUUCAAAGAUUAAAUGAAUCAAAACACCUCUUGGAAUGAAAUUGGUCAAAGUGAGCCAAGAAUUAAGUAUAAAUACGAGGUGCUUGUAUGAAAGAAAUUUAGAAUAAACAUGAACUACAAUUUUGUUGUU